AGACGAGGGUGAGAUGGCAUUGGGUUUCGCCUGGCACACGAUUUCCUCUCCCACCCUUGCUUUUGAGCACGGAGGCGCAACUUUGUAAAUGUGGAACGUUUCCUUGAGGAAAAUUGCUUUAUCAAGUUCUUUACUAUCUCUUUUUGCCCUUUUUCCUUACUGUUUGUUAAAAAGAAAGAAAAAAAACUACGAUGUUAGUACACCUGAAGGUUUGGCUCGCUGUUUAGCUGACUCCGGAGCUGUUUUAUUUGGUGCUAGUUGGUGUGGAUUUUGUGAGAAGCAAAAAUCUCUUUUUGGAAGUGGGCAGCGCUUUAUAAAUUAUUUCGACUGUUCUUUAAACGGCACGCAGAGAGGCUUUAAAAGGGAAUGCUUAGAAAAGGGCAUUCGUGUUGUACCCUCCUGGCAAAUGGGCGACGGGACCAUUCUUCAUGGUUCUCAAACCUUAAUGUCACUAGCUCUACAUAGCAACUGCUGGAAAAAACGUUAAUAUUUCU